rnacentral:rRNA from 1 species
UACGUAGGGUGCGAGCGUUAAUCGGAAUUACUGGGCGUAAAGCGUGCGCAGGCGGCGUCGCAAGUCGAGUGUGAAAGCCCCGGGCUUAACUUGGGAAUUGCGCUCGAAACUACGAUGCUGGAGUGUGGCAGAGGAAGGUGGAAUUCCACGUGUAGCGGUGAAAUGCGUAGAGAUGUGGAGGAACACCAAUGGCGAAGGCAGCCUUCUGGGCCAACACUGACGCUCAUGCACGAAAGCGUGGGGAGCAAACAGG